UACGUAGGGGGCAAGCGUUGUCCGGAAUUAUUGGGCGUAAAGAGCGUGUAGGCGGCCCGAUUAGUCCGCUGUGAAAGUCCAGGGCUCAACCCUGGAAUGCCGGUGGAUACUGUCGGGCUAGAGUCCGGAAGGGGCGAGUGGAAUUCCUGGUGUAGCGGUGAAAUGCGCAGAUAUCAGGAGGAACACCAAUGGCGAAGGCAGCUCGCUGGGACGGUACUGACGCUGAGACGCGAAAAGCGUGGGGAGCAAACAGG
rnacentral:rRNA from 1 species